AGCGAACGCUGGCGGCAGGCCUAACACAUGCAAGUCGAGCGCCCCGCAAGGGGAGCGGCAGACGGGAGAGUAACACGUGGGAACGUACCUUUCAGUUCGGAACAACCAAGGGAAACUUUGGCUAAUACCGGAUACGCCCGUAAGGGGAAAGAUUCAUCGCUGAAAGAUCGGCCCGCGUCUGAUUAGCUAGUUGGUGGGGUAAUGGCCCACCAAGGCGACGAUCAGUAGCUGGUCUGAGAGGAUGAUCAGCCUCACUGGGACUGAGACACGGCCCAGACUCCUACGGGAGGCAGCAGUGGGGAAUAUUGGACAAUGGGCGCAAGCCUGAUCCAGCCAUGCCGCGUGGAUGAUGAAGGCCUUAGGGUUGUAAAGUCCUUUUAACGGGGAAGAUAAUGACGGUACCCGUAGAAUAAGCCCCGGCUAACUUCGUGCCAGCCGCCGCCGUAAUAC
rnacentral:rRNA from 1 species